UACGGAGGAUCCAAGCGUUAUCCGGAUUUAUUGGGUUUAAAGGGUGCGUAGGCGGAUUGAUAAGUUAGAGGUGAAAUGUCCGAGCUUAACUCGGGAACUGCCUCUAAUACUGUUGAUCUAGAGAGUAGAUGCGGUAGGCGGAAUGUAUGGUGUAGCGGUGAAAUGCUUAGAGAUCAUACAGAACACCGAUUACGAAGGCAGCUUACCAAUCUAUAUCUGACGUUGAGGCACGAAAGCGUGGGGAGCAAACAGG
rnacentral:rRNA from 1 species